UAAAGGCGCAGCGCCGCCCUUGUGGGCGCCGCGGGGUGAGCUGGUGAGCGAGCUCUCUGCAGACAAAUACUCCAAGUGAAUGAGAAAGCAUGGAUGUUUUCCUGUUCUGCGUUGCCAAUUUUAGCAACAAUGCCAUUCCUUCUUUCAGCUGCACCUCAGCACAACCACCUCCUCUACAGCACCAG